rnacentral:rRNA from 1 species
GCGCAGCUGAUCCAGCCAUUCCGCGUGCAGGACGAAGGCCUUCGGGUUGUAAACUGCUUUUGUACGGAACGAAAAAGCUCUUGUUAAUACCAAGAGUCCAUGACGGUACCGUAAGAAUAAGCACCGGCUAACUACGUGCCAGCAGCCGCGGUAAUACGUAGGGUGCAAGCGUUAAUCGGAAUUACUGGGCGUAAAGCGUGCGCAGGCGGUUAUGUAAGACAGAUGUGAAAUCCCCGGGCUCAACCUGGGAACUGCAUUUGUGACUGCAUAGCUAGAGUACGGUAGAGGGGGAUGGAAUUCCGCGUGUAGCAGUGAAAUGCGUAGAUAUGCGGAGGAACACCGAUGGCGAAGGCAAUCCCCUGGACCUGUACUGACGCUCAUGCACGAAAGCGUGGGGAGCAAACAGGAUUAGAUACCCUGGUAGUCCACGCCCUAAACGAUGUCAACUGGUUGUUGGGUCUUCACUGACUCAGUAACGAAGCUAACGCGUGAAGUUGACNCGCCUGGGGGAGCUACGUGCCGCAAGGUUGAAACUCAAAGGAAUUGACGC